UUGCUCUUCAACGAGGAAUUCCUAGUAAGCGCAAGUCAUCAGCUUGCGUCGACUACGUCCCUGCCCUUUGUACACACCGCCCGUCGCUACUACCGAUUGAAUGGCUCAGUGAGGCUUUCGGACUGGCCCAGGGACAUUGGCAACGAUGGACCAGGCGCCGGAAAGUUAGUCAAACUUGGUCAUUUAGAGGAAGUAAAAGUCGUAACAAGGUUUCCGUAGGUGAACCUGCGGAAGGAUCAUUAGUGAUAUAGAAAAUCUCUUUUCUAGUCUCUAUAUACACCCUUUUGUCAACUUAUACCUUUGUUGCUUCCACUGGACAGAUGGAUACGCCCAGUUGCGCGUCCAUCCUCUGGCCUCUUCACGGAGGACGGGGAGUGCUAGUGGAAAGAAUACAAUUAAAACUUUGUCUUUAGAAAACUUGUCUGACAAUAUAUUUUUUAAUAAAAUAAAACUUUCAACAACGGAUCUCUAGGCUCUUGCAUCGAUGAAGAACGCAGUGAAAUGCGAUAAGUAAUGUGAAUUGCAGAAUCUCGUGAAUCAUUGAAUCUUUGAACGCACAUUGCGCCCUAUGGUAUUCCGUAGGGCAUGCCUGUCUGAGCGUCAGCUCGUCUUCUCAAGCUCUUUUGCUUGGAUAACAUUGGAUCAGCAAUACAAGCUCCUUUUGGGGUCUGUGUGCCUUCCAGAAAUUAAUAGGCGGUACGGUUCUAGCAAACCAGACGUAAUAAUAUUCUUAUCUAUCGUUAAUUUGUUUAAACUGUUGCUUGCCUUCUAAUCCACAUCUUUUUCAAGAUGACCUCAGAUCAGGUAGGGAUACCCGCUGAACUUAAGCAUAUCAAUAAGCGGAGGA
rnacentral:rRNA from 1 species